rnacentral:rRNA from 1 species
GAUGAACGCUGGCGGCGUGCCUAAUACAUGCAAGUCGAGCGAACGGACGAGAAGCUUGCUUUUCUGAUGUUAGCGGCGGACGGGUGAGUAACACGUGGAUAACCUACCUAUAAGACUGGGAUAACUUCGGGAAACCGGAGCUAAUACCGGAUAAUAUUUUGAACCGCAUGGUUCAAAAGUGAAAGACGGUCUUGCUGUCACUUAUAGAUGGAUCCGCGCUGCAUUAGCUAGUUGGUAAGGUAACGGCUUACCAAGGCAACGAUGCAUAGCCGACCUGAGAGGGUGAUCGGCCACACUGGAACUGAGGCACGGUCCAGACUCCUACAGGAGGCAGCGGUAGGGAAUCUUCCGCGAUGGGCGAAAGCCUGACGGAGCAACGCCGCGUGAGUGAUGAAGGUCUUCGGAUCGUAAAACUCUGUUAUUAGGGAAGAACAUAUGUGUAAGUAACUGUGCACAUCUUGACGGUACCUAAUCAGAAAGCCACGGCUAACUACGUG